ACCUUCAUGUGGUGCAGUCGGUCAGCAUGUCUGGCUGUUAAUCAGAAGUUUGAUGGUUCGAGUCCACCCAGGGAUG